rnacentral:lncRNA from 1 species
CUACCUGGAGAGUUGCUAGGGGAUGCUCAGGAGCUAAGUGACUUGUCCAAGGUCACAUAGUCAGUAUAUGUCACAAGCAGAAUCACACAUUUUAUGCUACAAAGAAUCUUAGAGGCUAUGUAGCCCAGAUUAAAAAAAACCCAACAAACUAUCCAAGAUUAUCAAAGUAGUAGGGGACGUGAUUAGAACUUUAGUCUGGGUCUCCUUGCCUCUAAGGUUAGUUAUCUCAUCAUUAGAGUAUUUUCCCACAUAUUUGUUUACAUGUUAUGUGUGUGUGUGUACAUAGACAGACACAUACAAACUCUACCAAUAUUGACCAUUUCAUUGUCAAUAAUGAUGUGAGAGGUUCAUGUCUAGCCUGGCCCUAGUCUGAUGUCCUAUGCAAGCUGCUUUCUGGAUAUCACACUGAGAAGCUCUGACUACGUUCCUUGCUGAAUGCAUGAGCCCUUUGCUUCAGACUCUGUUCUGGCUUGGUGACAGCAUGAUCUGCCAGCUGCUUCCCUGCAGACAGCAGCCACUUGCGAAAUUCUGCUUCAGUGACAUUUUACAGUGCUGGAUGUGUGAGCGAUCGUUUGGCCCAUGUAUCCUUUAAGGGAAGAAAACAACUUCAUGACUGCCUUACCAAUUUGCAUUGGAUUAGAAUAUUGAGAUCCCAGAGGAUGUCUAACUACUCCUCUUUGGAUUCUAUAGGGUUUACUUCUGAGCAAGCUGUAGUCAAUGGACAAGUCUCUUCCUUUUUGAUCUUGACUGCCUCCUUACUGGGUCAAGAUUAUGAUGAAUCCAAUCCGUGAAGCGGGAGAAGCAGGAGUUAAUGAACAUUCGAGGGGCUGAAGAGUCUGCAUUUGGGACGCAAGUUCUGUCACUUUCAGUUAUCAUGAUGCUAAGAAAUGAAAUGUAGGUGAGCAGCUUGGUGGCAAUUCACUGAAAUGGUUUUCUGUGGGAAAAUGUGACCUAAAAGUGAACUAGCAGAGCCAUUUUUUUUUUGUGGGAAUGGGGGAGGUUUGCCCAGUAGAACCUAUACAUAUUUUAUGACAUAUUAGAAGAUGGUGAACUAAGCAGGAAUUGUGACAGAAUGAACUUUCUUUACUAUGUUUUGUAGAGCAUGAAGGUCACAGCUGUGUAUGACUGCUUGAAUCGACAGACUGUUUUCCCCUGUGUGCAGCCCAAUGCAUUGGUUUUAACCUGUAAAAUCCUAUUAGGUCUGACUCUUUGUUGUCUCUGAGAUUUUCCUUUUUCCCUAUCUUUGAAAAACGUUAAGAUCUGCCACAGGCUUUUUUUAUGCUUCAAAUAUUUAUUUGCUUUCCAAAGUGUUGGAGUUAGGAUAUUUUUCACCGUUUGCUUUAGUUUUAGAAUUCUCUCAUUCUAAUAUGAGGUUGAGUCAGUAGGACUUCAAAGUAGGAUUUCUUUUUUCUGAUGGUUGG